UGUAAAGCACUGUCGAGGGGGAGAAAGGCCGCAAGGCGUGAUCUAUCCCUGGAGGAAGCUCGGGCUAAGUUCGUGCCAGCAGCCGCGGUAAGACGAACCGAGCGAACGUUGUUCGGAAUAACUGGGCUUAAAGGGCGCGUAGGCGGGCCGCCAAGUUCGAGGUGAAAUCCUCCGGCUCAACCGGAGAACUGCCUCGAAUACUGGAGGCCUCGAGGCGGGUAGGGGCAUGCGGAACUGUGGGUGGAGCGGUGAAAUGCGUUGAUAUCCACAGGAACUCCGGUGGCGAAGGCGGCAUGCUGGACCCGAUCUGACGCUGAGGCGCGAAAGCCAGGGGAGCAAACGGGAUUAGAUACCCCGGUAGUCCUGGCCCUAAACGAUGGGUACUAGGUAGUAGACUUGACAUGGGUUUACUGCCGGAGCUAAAGUGCUAAGUACCCCGCCUGGGGAGUAUGGUCGCAAGGCUGAAACUCAAAGGAAUUGACGGGGGCUCACACAAGCGGUGGAG
rnacentral:rRNA from 1 species